UCCGGUAUGGUGUAACGGCUAACAUUGCCGCCUUUCACUGUAUACUGCAGCGCGCGGCAGCUCGGGGUUCGAUUCCCCGUACCGGAA